UACGGAGGGUGCAAGCGUUAAUCGGAAUUACUGGGCGUAAAGCGCGCGUAGGUGGCUUGUUAAGUCAGAUGUGAAAGCCCCGGGCUCAACCUGGGAAUUGCCUCUGAUACUGGUGAGCUUGAGUACGGGAGAGGAGAGUAGAAUUCCAGGUGUAGCGGUGAAAUGCGUAGAUAUCUGGAGGAAUACCGGUGGCGAAGGCGGCUCUCUGGCCCGAUACUGACACUGAGGUGCGAAAGCGUGGGGAGCAAACAGG
rnacentral:rRNA from 1 species